GAAAAAUCCUUGCUACAGCCCCAAUCUCCUCCAAAAUCCCUCUUUCCAUCCUUGUUCCAGCUUCAAAAUGAAUUUCUAGAGUGCUUGGGAGACGAGAAAACGUCCCUCUACUACUGAUUGAAGGAAAUCCCAACUAAUUUCUAUCUUGUACUCUUCCAAUUCCUUUGAUGAGUUGUCACAAGCCCAAUGGAUAAGACAAUAGCUUUAAGGAGCAUCUCACAGCCUCUUGUGCGCUCUCUUUCAAUCUCACAGGCAGCCAUGCACCAUCCUUCAAUCCUACAGAUACUUGUAUGCCUAUCUCCAAUCUCAUAGGCAGCCAUGGGAUUCCCAUAAGUACUUGUAAAAUAUUCUGCCUCCAGAAAUCUUCUCCAAUUCCUUAUCAUUCUUUAUCAAUUUUUUUGUUUUACUUUACU
rnacentral:misc_RNA from 1 species